rnacentral:lncRNA from 1 species
GCCGGGGACCCAGGGGGAGGAGGACUUGGGCCGCCCCCCACCCCGGGGAAGGGUCUCGGCGGCGGCGGCCGCGCUUGGGCUGGGGGGCGGGGGGUACUGCGGGCCCCGCCGCAGCCCCCCGCCCCGAUUUUAGCGGGCUGACUGCAGUCUCCAUCCCCGGGAUGGCGGGACAUUGCAGACCCCCGCCCCACUCCACCGCAGCCCCAGGUUGGCCCCCACGCCCUCCGCGGGCGCCCCCGGGGGCCCAGCGGGAGAAGGCUCGGGCCGCCCCCCAUCCUCCGGGGAAGGGUCUCGGCGGCGGCGGCCGAGCGCGAUGCGACCUGCGCGGAGCUCUUUGCCUGCCGUCCACCUUCAUGGACCACCGCACGCCCCCCUUCCCCAGUCCAGCCCCUCACUGCGGGCGACUCCCCGCCCCCGGCUCUCCAUCACUUCACUCGGUGGUUUGUUUCACUAUUUUAACGGAGGAGGGGAAGAGGCAGCGACGCCUGGGAGGCGCGAGAGGGGCACUUCGGAGGCCGCGAGGGGGCUGCCGCGGUGUGGGGCGUCCCCUGACCCGACACCGCCCCUCUUGGUCUCAGAGGCAGAUGCGGGAGCCCAGCCCCACCCGCGCCGUUCCCUCCCCACGCGGUCCUCCCUGUGCAUCCAGGGCCCAGUACUUCUUGCUCUGGGACUGCCGCCCCAGCACUGCGUUCUCCAUCAGCGCUGCCUCGGCCUCUGUCGCCUUCCCUUCUCCGCGCUUCACAACUGAUGCUUCGGCGGCGGGGGGCUGCCUUGCCCCCAAGGGGCGGCCCCCCUGGGUCCCCACCCCGCGAUGGCACGGCUGAUGCUGUGUCAUCCUUGUCGCCCUCCGAGGCAUCAGGGAAGCCACAUGCAAUAUCUCUUUCUCUCAGAGGGCUCCUGUUUCNNNNNNNNNNNNNNNNNNNNNNNNNNNNNNNNNNNNNNNNNNNCAGGGCUCCAGCCACCAGCUUCGCCCUGGCUGCGGCGGUCCAAGUUAUCACCCAAGCCCAGAGAAACCAGGCCUGGGCUGCGCUUCCUCCAUAAAGCGGCUGACAUGUUUCCACCUGUUAAUACUUUUCCUACCGAGCUUCUGAAAGGGGCCUGUUGUCAGCCUUUGGAAACAUCUUCAGAAAGAUAAGGGUGAUUGUGGUUGUAAAAGACAAACACUGCACACCCCCCAAAUUCUAAAGAUGACGGGGGGCCUCUCCACUGGGGGCUGAGAACGCUACUGUAGAGUCUCCCAUGUGAGGUUUGUUAGGCAAGAUGAUGUUGUACAGACAGAAAGCUGGCUACUAUCUACUUGCUAUGACCUUCGACCCUGUUCCACGCGAGUUCCUCUGAAUACACUUGCUCACCAUCCAAAGUUGUAAGCCCAGUCCCAGGCCUUUAACUGGUGGCCUUCAGUGGAUCUCUGGUUUUCAGGACAGCAGACAGAAGUGUCGACCCAGGGAUGGAUUAAAUGGAUGGGUUCUGGCCAAGACAGAACUCUCUAGAACCAAGCAAAAGCAGUUGCACCAUUACCUCUGACUUGAGAUAAUCAGCUGCCCAAGAGGGAACUGAUUCAGCUGGCUGUUUCUCUGAUGUCCAGAGUCAUCAAAAUUAAGUUUUCAGAACCUGUUACAUUUCCCAGGGUCUGCUGUUGACAGAGGAAAACUCAACCCAGAGAAACUUUAGUAAUGGCAUUUUUCUAAGCCUCCUCUCUAGCCUCACCGCAUGCCCCCAGUUAGAUGUUGCCUUUCCUGGUCUCCCCACUCAGUGGUACGUUUCUGAGUAGGAAUCAUAUCAAAAUUGGAAUUUUGCUUGUAAUUUAGCUUAUUCUGUAAAAUACAUUCAAACCUGCAAAGCUACAUGAAUUUUUAGGACAGAUCACCUCGAUAGCAUCACCGCGGUAAUACUGGCAACCUAUUUAGUUGAGAAAACAGCCUAUAAGCAACUUUUGAAAUGAUGCUGAGCUGUGCAUUCAUCUUUUCUAGCUAAUUUAUAAACUUGGAAGUCAAAUGAGCUGUCCAAAGGUCUGUUGGUUCAUAUUACCCAUAAAUAUCCUUGAUCCAACAAAUAUUUUUUGAACAUCUAAUAGGGAGAAAGAGUCAUGCUAUCAAAACUACAAUGACCCUGAGGAAGCCAAAACUGAAAAAGACCCAUGUACCCCAGUGUUCACUGCAGCACUAUUUACAAUAGCUAGAGUAUGGAAGCAACCUAGAUGUCCGUCAACAGAAGAAUGGAUAAAGAAGCUGUGGUAGAUAUACACAAGGGACUAUUACUCAGCCAUAAAAAGGAACAAAUUUGAGUCAGUUCUAAUGAGGUG